rnacentral:rRNA from 1 species
AAAUUGAAGAGUUUGAUCAUGGCUCAGAUUGAACGCUGGCGGCAGGCCUAACACAUGCAAGUCGAACGGUAACAGGAAGCAGCUUGCUGCUUCGCUGACGAGUGGCGGACGGGUGAGUAAUGUCUGGGAAACUGCCUGAUGGAGGGGGAUAACUACUGGAAACGGUGGCUAAUACCGCAUAACGUCGCAAGACCAAAGAGGGGGACCUUCGGGCCUCUUGCCAUCAGAUGUGCCCAGAUGGGAUUAGCUAGUUGGUGAGGUAACGGCUCACCAAGGCGACGAUCCCUAGCUGGUCUGAGAGGAUGACCAGCCACACUGGAACUGAGACACGGUCCAGACUCCUACGGGAGGCAGCAGUGGGGAAUAUUGCACAAUGGGCGCAAGCCUGAUGCAGCCAUGCCGCGUGUAUGAAGAAGGCCUUCGGGUUGUAAAGUACUUUCAGCGGGGAGGAAGGUGUUGUGGUUAAUAACCGCAGCAAUUGACGUUACCCGCAGAAGAAG